rnacentral:rRNA from 1 species
GACGAACGCUGGCGGCGUGCCUAACACAUGCAAGUCGAACGGAGCUGUUCCUUCGGGGGACAACUUAGUGGCGAACGGGUGAGUAACGCGUGAGGAACCUGCCUUUCAUGGGGGGACAACAGUUGGAAACGACUGCUAAUACCGCAUAACACUUCCGGAAGGCAUCUUUUGGAAGUCAAAGAUUUAUUGCUGAAGGAUGGGCUCAUGUCUGAUUAGCUAGUUGGUGAGGUAACGGCUCACCAAGGCGACGAUCAGUAGCCGGUCUGAGAGGAUGAACGGCCACAUUGGGACUGAGAUACGGCCCAGACUCCUACGGGAGGCAGCAGUGGGGAAUAUUGGGCAAUGGGGGAAACCCUGACCCAGCAAUGCCGCGUGAAGGAAGAAGGCCUUCGGGUUGUAAACUCCUGUCCUCAGGGAAGAGCAGAAGACGGUACCUGAGGAGGAAGCCCCGGCUAACUACGUG